GGGGGGGGGGGGGGGGGGGGGGGGGGGGGGGGGGGGGGGGGGGGGGGGGGGGGGGGGGGGGGGGGGGGCGGGCUGCGCUGCGCUGGGCUGCGCUGGGCUGGGCUGGGCGCUGCCCGUAACGGAGCUGCAGGGGCUGUGCGGGAUGAGCUGGAGCGCAGCGGCGAUUUCACAGAAUCAGUGUUCAUGUCCAGGUGAUUUCAGCCUCCCAAAAAAAAGCUGUUCCAGGAGGAAGAGGAUGCUGAGCCAGGACAUGCAGGUGCAGUCAGGCAUUAACUGUCCAGGUUGGGCUGGUGGAAGCUGUCUCUGCCCAUGGCAGGAGUGGAAUGAAAGGGGAUUCAAGGUCCCUCCCAACCCAAACCAGUCCAGGAUUCUGGGAUUUUCUGGGAUUCUACAUCCACAAGUACAAACAAAUUCAGAUCUGUGCAGAGUGAAAGCCAAGACUGAGAACACCUGUUGGAUACAAGACUCACCUGAUAUUCCCAGCUGUUUGAGGUACUGGGAAUGUACCUGUGAGCUCUUUGGGAAUCCUUUAAGGAUGAGCGAAGAGAUAAGAGAUGGAGAAGUUUCUGGGCAGAAUUCUCCGAAUUUUAGUAAGAGAGUACAGGAUUUCUCCUCUGCAAAUAGGAAGACAAUACUGGAAUAG
rnacentral:lncRNA from 1 species